AUGUCAAGCAAGGAACAGAAGGCCAUGAAGAAAAGUGCCAAGCGCCCGAGGGUAGAUAAGACCCUCCCAUCAGAAGACUCCAAGAACCCAGAUGCAGUCAAACCUGCGGACAAUCCAGCAGUUGGUACCAGUGAGAUGGGCAGCCAUUCCUCAGGAUCAGAAGUGCAAGAGGCCAGGGAGCCUGUUGAGAAGAGGAUGCAGGAUUUCGAAGGUGAUGUUACCAGGUUUCUUGUGGAAAAGAGGAAGCAGUUUGAAAAGGAUGUAAAUGCCUCUUUCAGAAGCCUGAAUGAAAACCUCCAGGGUAUUUUGAAAGCUCAGCAGAAGUCAAGGCAGGAGCUUAAGUCUGUGUACUGUGAAAGGUUUGAGUCUCUGCACCAGGAGUGGCUGGAUGAGGUGGACAGCACAAGGGACCAAGAAGAACACUUCAGUUUUUUAACUCAGCAGCAAAUGAAGAUUUUACAGAUGGCUAUAGUGGAUCAUGAAACCAAGCUUGAAAAUGCGAAAGAUAUGUGUGACACAUUUUUGAAGAAAGCCAACGACUUGAGUAAACAUCGCAAAACCUUUAUUGGUGGUCAGCAAACUAAUGUGGAGAAGGAAAUCUCCAAGGUGCAGGACAGAGUUAUCAUGGAAACUCAAGAACAAGAUGUAUCCGUUGUUGAAACAUACCUUCAGUCCCUGAUCCUUGACCGCUCUGAAGAAACCAUCUGAAGCUCGCACAUAGGAUGCACAGGGAAGGGAGAUUAGCCACGCUAAGAAGACAUUAGUAGUAGUCAGUGCAGCUCCUUUCUCUUUACCCUGUUUGUUACAAUUGAGACUGAGACUGUUAACCAUUAAGUGAACCCCCAGCAGUUCUGUGAGUAGCAACAGACAGUUAAGUGUGGA